UCAAUACGAUGAGGCUACUAUUGUUGCAUUUAUUUAUGUUUUCCUUAGUAUGGUGUAUUGUUUGUUGUGGUGUUCUCCACCAAGUAAAGGGACAAAGUAGUGAGCCAAAUUUAGUUCGAAGAUCUGUUGAAGAUGACAAUAGUGAUACAGACAACUCGGAUACCCUUUGUUUUUUUAGAAGAGUUUUGUUCAAUGCCACAACUAAUACGUAUAUCGCAUCGUAUCGGUGUUCUCCAUUACUUGUAGAUUCUCCUCCUCAGUAACUGAACACGAAGGUGCAAAGAAUGCCACUAUGGACAAUGCCUUGUUUGGAAACAUUGCUUAUCGUGGUGUAUUUUAUUGAUCUUCCUGGGCUUAGCAUUAAAGUGUCAGCGAAUCAGUCUUACGUUGACGUUGGUGGUACUAUAGUGUUCCCAGAUCAAGUUCACGGGUCAAACGUUUAUGUGCCUAUAGUGUUCCCAGGUCAAGAUAACAAGUCAAUGUUUUCCCACCCUACAACCACUACAGCAAAUGCACGAGUCUUUAUAAAUGAAUCAAGAAAUGUGAACGCACUGAAUAGAUUAAAACCUGCAGAAACCAUUAAAUCCAAUUGCUCAUUGACUUACCUUCUUAAGAAUGUUAGGAAAAUGGAGCAAAGUAAACUUAACAGUUUACCGCAAUGUAGUCCUGACAAUAACUUGAUCUUAGAUGAACAUAGUGUUACAAAGUCUACGUCUACGACUCCUUCUCCUGCGGAUAAUUUAGAAGGAAUUAUCGAUACAAAAUUUCUUAUGGACGUCCCUGAGCGAGAUUGUCCAGAAAAUGAGUGUAGAGUGGACGGAGAAUGCAGAUGGUGUGAUUAGUUAUAAAAUGAUAACCAUAACGAACAAACCUAGUGGGUAAUAUUCGUGUAUCUGUAAUAUAAGAUAUAGUAUGAUGUUUUCUAUACUAAUUUUUGUUGAAUUGUUUUGAAUGUGAGUAAAAAACUAAUGUGACUAAACGGUUUUUUGUUUUCAAUCUUGAUUGUUGACGUCAUGGUUUAUUAAAUUUUAUGUUCUAUGUAAUAUUUUAAAUAGGCCAAUUCAACACUUUAUUUACAGUAUAUUAUUUCUCUCGCUGGUUCUGAAUAAUGGUAUAUGUUUUUACUGAAGCAAAACAUUUUUGGGAUGGACAAGAUUAGUGUGUAAAAAGCAACAAUACAGUGAUUUAUAUUCUAGAGAUUCCUUCAUUCAAUUGCUAUACUACUUAGAAAAAUCGUACAACCGACUUUAAUAUAAUAAAAUAUUUAAUGGUAUAAUGCAUAGGUUGUUAUUAAACGCAUUUAUACUAUUAAAAAUUCUCAUUUCAAAGUAACAACCCGUGCCACUGAUGUACAGUGAUUUCAUGGUAAAUUGCAAUAACAUUUUAUGUAUAUUUUAAAUAAUUAAUUACAAAUUGUAAUAAUGUACUUGAACAUUGGUGAUGUAUUAUAGCUAAGUCUUAUACUUUACAGCAAAGAGUUUCCAAAACAAUUGUACGGACUAAUAUUGUCAUAUGAAUUAAUCUUUAUCAUUACUUGAUAAACGUCAAAUUGCGUACGUGUGAGCACAUUUGGGUACUUUAGAAACAGUUCUGUUCUUACGCAAAUAUUUCAAAAUAAUGCUCUUUAAUUUGGCAAUUCUUUUAAAUUCCAGUAAUGCCUAUUAUUUUCGUUGUAACACUAACACUUAAUCAAAAUGUAGAUAACAGUACAUAUUAACAAACUCUGAAUUGAAAAAUAAUAUAUAUUGUGCAAAGGUUUUACUGUGUCCAUUGAACAAAUAAAACUACAAAGGACAUGUAAAUACUUUUAGGUUUCACGCAAUACCUAAACAUUUGUCUACAAAGUCAUAUGAUUUGAGAAGUGUUGCAGAAGAAAUAUCAUCCAACUCCAACAUACAGUACAGUGGUCAUGCAUCUUUGAGAGGAUCAGUUUAUACACAGGUUACACUUGUAGAACACCUGCGCCAGUUCCAUUCCCCUAAUGCACACUUGAGUUGUUCAAAUGUAUGUCCACAUGCAAUAUUAUGGCAAGAGCCCAACAAAAGUAUAAGGGUUGUUUUUAUAAACUGGAAGGCAAACUUUUUCUGAAAUUAAUAGAUAGCUAAUAUUAUUUUUGUCAUAAUGCAGCAAAACCGUAUGGUUUCAAUACAUGCGUUGGGAUACUAAAUAAGUUGUUUUUACUCCCAGAGAGUGAGGAGGCUAUUAUAAUCAACUAGAGUAAAAGACAUUUGCUGUGUAUUUUUCAGACUUUCCAAUCGGCAAGAUUUUUUUUAAUAUUUUUUUACACGAUCCGACAUUGUCGUUCUCGAGCAUGUUGUACAUUGCGCUUUAAUACAAAGAUAGCUAUUAGCUUUAACGAACAAUAACUCGAUAUGUAAAAUACUCCGUACUUUAAACAAGUAUGUUUGGAUAAAAUGUUUACUUUUAAACUUUUACAUAAAAAUAUAAAUUUAUAAAUUACAUGUGGUAUAUAAAUGAAAAUAACACAGUUCAGUACUACUUUACGCUUCUUGGGGGCCCAAUGUAAAAGAUAAAAAUAUAUUAACUGAUUCAUGUUGUCACAAUAGGCAGUUAUUUUAAUUCGUUGCUAUAAUGACCCCAACAUAUUAAUUUAUUUUUUACACUGAGCCCAACAGUGCCUCACCCUGAUGCCAUAUGUGUUAGUCACAAAUCAUUGAACAUGUGACAGAAACAUCUGUUUAUCCAUAGAUGUAAACCCACCAAAAAGAAUACGACUACUAUAUGAAUCAACUUGUUAACGUUUUAAGGGAACAAUCUUUAGAUAUUUUAAACUAUGUUAGUAUAAUCAACUAUUUUAUGUUAUUUGAGAAAUACAUCAUUAUAUACCACUGGGAUCAGCCAAUCCUUAAGUAGACAGAUUGAGAUAUUGUUUUUUUUCUUACAGUCAUUGUAUUCCCUAUAUCUUGUUUAUUUCUUAGUCAGAUUAUACCUUGAACUUAUUAUAAAUUGACAAGGAAAUAAAACAUUUAUUGUUGUGCAA